UCCGUUCAUGGGUUUUCUGAGCAGCGGGUCAAUGUCGUAAGAGGACAAAGUGAGAGCUUUCCGACCAGGGAGAGCAACAAGGCUAACACACAGAAACACAAAACUCCGACUCCAGCUGUCCCCUUCUCCAGAGAGUUGCCGCGGUGGACAGGAGCCACCUAGUCGUGACACCCCACGGGGGGCGACCUGCAGUGAGGACGGUGUGGCUUAGGGCUACGGAGGCCCGUCCCCUUGUCAUCUUGUGUCAAGGUGGACCAGCUCUGUGCCACCACCCCUGCUCCAGAACUCCAAGAGAAUCGAGCUGUGAUCGGACCUGAGCCGAAACAGCCUUGCCCCAUCCUGCUUCCCUCUCUUGCCAGUUGUCAUCCCGAGAGCUCCCGCUCAACGUGCCCUGUGCACAAAAACCUCCAGCUCAGAUUCUGCUUCUAAGGAACUCAACCCAACCAGCAAGUGGGGCCAACACAAGGCAGGGUUAAGGGCACCCUGCUUGUGCUAGAAGAGUUUGGAGCUUGUGGACUGACCAAAUAAAUAGAAGGAAGCCUGGUUCCUUCAACCCGUUC